CAUCUCUAGAAAGGGGCAGAAAUGUGGAAGACUCACAGUUAGAGAGGGCUGUGCUCUUAAUGUUUUCUUUGUGGGUCCGCCACACUUUUGAGGCACUCACCCCAUGUCAGCACCAGGGGGCAUCUCCUCAAGUGACACAGAGAGGUGCCUGCAGCCAGUGCUGAAGCCAGACACCGGCCACAAGGCUGUUUCUACUUGCUAAACCCAAGGUUCAACCAUUCCGCUAACAGUAGUGUCAAGAACUCAUUGCUCAAGAUUAGCCAGAAUAUUUGGGGAAAGUAUUACCAUCUAUAUAUAAAGAACAUGUCCAGAUCUGGGCAGACGCUAAGAGGAAGAAGGUAAGGAGGCUUAUGGGAAUGUAAUGGAAACGAUGCCUUCAGCUGUAAACCACAAGUUGUUAGCUUCUGUACCAGUUUAGACAGGAGAGAAGGUGCUGGCCAUGACAUUUUUUAAAGAGAAAAACAGAAGAUGAACACCAAACCAGGCCCUAUCACAAACACCUGGAUCUGGAGGUCGGAACACAAAACUCUUGGCUACAGGACAUCUUCAUGACAUCACCAACAUCUCCGUGAAGGAGACAGGAUUCACGCCAACACUACAGUUUCCCAUAAGCAUCAUCUACAGCGACAAUAGAAUGCCUCGUUUAUGCUCGAGUUGACUGUCCCCUAAAUGCAAAUGCUAUUCAUCGGGUCUAUUCAGCAACAAUCUCUCUCACGGUGUCUGACGCCUCCUGUGGAGGAGAAGCCAUGGCAGGAAGAUUGUAGGAUGGGGCAUGUGUGGCGCAAGGCAAGUAAAGGACCAUAAACUAACACCAUAUCUUAACCUAGCUAAGGGGCUAAGGUCACAGUGACCCUCAAGCUUACAGAGCUGAGAGGCAGAAUGGACAAUGAUGAGCAAGCUGGAAAGAAGACCGGCAUGGUGGCAAAUGAAAGAGAGCAACAGCAGUGUGCCACUUAAUCUCUUGUCAACUUGACAUAAAUGGGGCUCAUCUACCCAAUGGUGUUCAAAACCUCCGAUAGGAAGAUACGUCCAUCCCAUAGGCUCUGACUGUGGGAUGAGCAUGGAGGGCAAACCAGCCAGCAGCCUUCCUCUGUGGCCUCUGCUUCAUAUCCCACCUCUUUAAGGCCCCCGCUUUAGCUACGGUCCUGAUUUCCCUCUGUGGAAGGACCGGAAGCUAUAAGAUGAAACAAGGCCUUUUCUCCCCAAGAUACUUUGGGUCACGAUUGUCAUCACAGCAAUAGACAGCAAACCAGGACAGGGGUGAUCUGGUUAAAGUAAACUAUAUGCACCCCUGAAAAUGUCAGGAAGAAAGCCAUUGUUUUGUAAAGAGUAAUAUAUUCUAAUAGAAACAUCAAAAAGAAGAUAUGGUGAAAAGGGCCGAGACAGGUAAAGAAGAAAAUCUAAGAGAAGGCUUCCGGCGCUGUCAAAGGGUAGCAUGUCUCUCUCAAAAGGGAGAAUGGUCCAAAGGAAUGUGGCGUUUGUGGGGGCCGGUCUACACAGGCAGAGGCUGAGCACGCAGCUCACUGCUUUUGUUGAGUUUAACCAGCCCCAAGUUUAAAAGCCCAUUCAGGGUUGCAGAGAGGACUUCUGGUAUCUGCGGACGCUCAGCGGUGAAGACGCGAUGAUUCCAGCAGCACAGCCUCCUUGCCAUGGCCUUCCUGAGCUACGGGAGUGCCUCCUGGACAAAAUCAUCCUCUCACAGGAGUCACGACUCUGUGAAUGCGGACACCAACAGCCUCCUGGGAGCCAGACACAACCUGCAGUAACAGGCAACCUGGGCAGAGACCGGGACAACCUAAGUUGUCUGGUGAGUACUGGAAUUAAACUGCCCAGCCGUGGACGGGAAGAGAGAGAACAAGACAUGUUGGACGCCGCCAUACAAUUAGAGUGACCGUUAAGCCAAGCUAUUUUACCAUAUUCUCCAGAAAUCCCAUGUAGGCUGAAAAGAGAAGGAAAAAACAAAUAAGUAAAGUCAAUGUGUGUUUCUGCGUCUGGUGGGCCAAGAAAAGCCUCAGAGCAUUUUGAAAACAGGAAUGGAUCUUAGAUAUUGUCAGAAAUGUUUCACUCGUGAGGAAGUGGCUGACUAGACAUUUUGGGCAAAGUCCUUUUCUGAUGGCCCACUCUAAGCCCAGCUUCUUGUUCAGUGGAUUUUGAAUGGAUCUCCCGUCAAGGUCCGGCAUGCAGGCAGCAUGUAGUUGCUCUGUGUCUCCUGUCGCUUAACUCUGGCAGUUUAAGAUGUGUCAGAGAAAGGGGAGCAAGCAGUGCCAUAAGAGCUGGGAAAGAAGGGGUGCAUUUUGACAGAUGAGAGUCGUGUCUUGAAAAUCCCAAGGGGCCAAAGACCAAGAAUCCACGAGGGCAGCCAGAGGAAUAUGUACUCAAAGGCCAGGUCAGAGAGUGACCGGAAAGACCUUAAACACGCAAGAUGUUCAAAAUACUUCGGAUUAAACUGACCAAGAAAGAAAGAGGACAAGAGAGGAGAUGAGACAUGAUUCCAGACCUAGAGCCAUCCCAGUCAGUUGGACCUUGCUAUAGCAUGUGGGUAAACCAGAGAAGGGCAAGUUCAACCAGGACCUGGAGAUUCUGCCCCUCAGAGUCUGCUCCCAAUAAGCGGGCUUUCCCACUCGCAGACCCCCACGAAGCAGAAUGAGAGCCAGACAGCCGCCCACACUGAAGUUGGCUGUCAGAGUGGUGGCUUGUUUUUAUUAAAUGGACUGCGUCAGCUGACUGAUCGUCCACUAUCAAAAAGAAAGUUGUGAAAGAA